CACUCGUUUGUCAUCGUACGGUUCUACCCCACGUCUAUUUUCUGGGGAAAAAAAAGCGUAUUCCUUUCUCCUCCGAAGGACCUCUCGCAUGGAGUAUUUCCUUCCCAGCGGACCUCGUGCGCAUCGAACCGAUCGCCUCGAUCUCGUUCUUCGAGCAUCGGCCAGCUUUCUCCCUGAUACGGCCCUCAAAUCCUCUGAACUCGUCUGCCUGUGGUGCCAUGCCUGACGCAGUGACGCAGCAGCGGCGAGGAGGACCUCGGCGAGACGCCCAUCCAUGAUGAAGCAGCAGCGGCGAACAGAACCAUCAAAUUGACUGAGGGGAAAUGAUCAGUGGGCAUAGAGGAACUUGCAUGUGGGAGAAAUCGAGCCAAAGCUCACUGAUGGCAGAGAUCGAGGCGGCGACGCCGUGGUCGGAGUCAGGGAAGAAGAGGCCCUGUUUCUGCCUCCUUGUCGUCCAUGGCUUUCUGGAAGAUUAGUCCUUAUGCUGAUGAUGAAUCACAAAUAUGAAAGGAAUCGAAUCAAUGAAGUGCAGUCCGGCGCCAGCGGCUCCCGCGGACGGACGGAGGCACCGUGCGAGGAGCCAAGUCGAGGAACUGCAGGUUGAUACUGGUGUUUCAGUUGCGGACAAACGAAGACAAUAGUCGACGAACUGCAAGCAUGUGCUCGCCUGCCGUCUCCAGGUCUGGGCGUGCCGCGUGCCCGCCGCUGCACCGGCGAGGCCGUUGGAGCCAUGGCAGCGACUCAGCUCUGCUCCAUCUUUGAUUUCAGAUGUAAACAUUGAUUUUGCACGGAAGGGCGUCGGGUGUUACGGAAUCCUAUUUUCAACUUAUUUUUACAGCAGAAAAGCACGCGCAGCAGAGGAUGCCACGGAACUGCACGAUGCGUGCCACGUCUCCCCGGAGCACCGAUCGGAGCAAACUCGGGAAGCAGGGCAAGCCGCCCCAGGGCCGGGCCUGCUGCCAGGGGAAAGCAAUGGAUAAUUACCUGGGCCGCUUUGGUUCAAAUUGCAGAAGUCACUCAUUAUGCUGCUCCAUUUGUUUCUAAUCUGCAGUUGAAUUUCAAUAAAAACCUCUGCAUAAAAAUGUUUUUCCGUACAUAUGGGUGACCAAGGAAGUAUAUGACUGUGUUCAAGGCGGAGGCUUCAAUUCGAAGCUGCGGCGUCAGCAGUUUAAGUAGCCGUCAGCAGUGUGGGUAUUUUAUGCUUGUUCAGUGAUCUUGCACGCCAGCCAUGAUCAUUUGUUUUUAGAAUAACAAUGGCAAGUUAGGAAUGGUUCUUGACUCUUUCCAGUAAUAUUACGUGUGGUUAGUGUUUAUUGCAGGGAGGACGAUGUGGCAUCUAUGGAGGCAACUGCACUGAUUGGGUUGUCAGUAUUUAGGUAUGCCACAUGUAUGAUCUCUGUAUGGGUUAAUGAUGUUGCGUGAAAUAAAUUAGAAAGAAUGGAUGGUACUGUAUUACCGCUCUGGCUCACCAUCUUCACUGACACUGAUAGUGUUAUAAAAUUGUUGGUCUAAUUCA